GGCACUUGCAACUUUAUUGCGCCAGCAAGAACAUGCAUACAGCCCAGUCUAACGUACAGGAUCAAAAAGAGACCUUAUUUCGGCUGGCAAUUACCUUACCCGCUUGUUCAUUAUCUGACUCCUGCACUCCUCCCAAGUGUUCAAUGUUAACCAGAUGGCAAAGUUAACCAGACAGAGGAAAUCCACAUAAUUACUCUAGAUGAAGCCCCCUAACUGCGGAUUAGAAGGAAAAGAGAUGAAGGGUGCUGCACUAAUAAUAACAACCAUUUUCAACCAAGGCAGGAUUCUGGGCCUAGAAUCUUCAGUGACAAAUUACCAGGAGAGGAGGAGGGAAAUGAAGAGCUGGAGGCCUAGGGAGAUGGUGUGAGGAGAGGAGACUGUGCCUUUCCACUUCUUAAUAAUUAAUGUUCUCCUGCUGCUCUGAGUCUGCAUCACCAGUGAUUCAGUUUGAGUCAGACAUCCAACAACAACUGAGCAAAAGAAUCAUCUCAGAUCCAAGCAAUGGUGACGCGCAGAUAGAAGAGACUGAGGCCAACGACCAAAGCAAAGGACAGCAGAACUGACUGACACAGCUCAGAAAAUAUCCAAAGCUCUGUAUGCUCUGGAAAGGAAGACAAGAAAUGCUAAAGACUCUGGAUAUUGCUCUGUUUCUAUAAGGUCCCACCCAUAUACCAUCUCUUCUUUUGGAUUUCCUUUGGCAGGGUUCCCUUGUAUGGAAGUUCUCAGGAGAACAACACUCUCAGAGUCCCACUGUCUCAAAGAAUUCUUAAUGGACAGCUAUACUUGGCCCCAAGGUUUCAACCUCACACUGAAGAAAGUGACAUAAGAAAACACAAGUCCCAGUGCUAUCAGGGGCUAUCUGGAAAAGCUGCUUAAACAGCAAGUGAAAGAAGGCUCUCCCCUACCCCGUUCUAGUUAUAAACAUCACAUCUCUUAACAUACGGCCAAGAUGAUGAAGCUGAUGGAACUCACCCUGAAGUUAUUUGAAGGAUCCUUGAGACUCUUUUGGAUUGCUGCUUGGAGAACAUUCCUGUAACUUGUCCCUGCUCCUUGAACUAUAAAAGCAGAAGGGAGGUACUGAGUUAAAACUUACAAAUUAUUAUCAAAUAAAUCUUCAAUAGUGGUUCAGUCCAA
rnacentral:lncRNA from 1 species